rnacentral:rRNA from 1 species
AGAGUUUGAUCCUGGCUCAGAUUGAACGCUGGCGGCAGGCCUAACACAUGCAAGUCGAGCGGCAGCACGGGAAGCUUGCUUCCUGGUGGCGAGCGGCGGACGGGUGAGUAAUGCAUAGAAAUCUGCCCGGUAGUGGGGGAUAACCUGGGGAAACCCAGGCUAAUACCGCAUACGUCCUACGGGAGAAAGCAGGGGAUCUUCGGACCUUGCGCUAUCGGAUGAGUCUAUGUCGGAUUAGCUUGUUGGUGAGGUAAUGGCUCACCAAGGCGACGAUCCGUAGCUGGUCUGAGAGGAUGAUCAGCCACAUCGGGACUGAGACACGGCCCGAACUCCUACGGGAGGCAGCAGUGGGGAAUAUUGGACAAUGGGCGAAAGCCUGAUCCAGCCAUGCCGCGUGUGUGAAGAAGGCCUUCGGGUUGUAAAGCACUUUCAGUGGGGAAGAAAGCUUUGGGGCUAAUACCCUCGAGGAAGGACAUCACCCACAGAAGAAGCACCGGCUAACUCCGUGCCAGCAGCCGCGGUAAUACGGAGGGUGCGAGCGUUAAUCGGAAUUACUGGGCGUAAAGCGCGCGUAGGCGGUCUGAUAAGCCGGUUGUGAAAGCCCCGGGCUCAACCUGGGAACGGCAUCCGGAACUGUCAGGCUAGUGUGCAGGAGAGGAAGGUAGAAUUCCCGGUGUAGCGGUGAAAUGCGUAGAGAUCGGGAGGAAUACCAGUGGCGAAGGCGGCCUUCUGGACUGACACUGACGCUGAGGUGCGAAAGCGUGGGUAGCAAACAGGUUUAGAUACCCUGGUAGUCCACGCCGUAAACGAUGUCGACUAGCCGUUGGGCUCCUUGAGAGCUUUGUGGCGCAGUUAACGCGA